AUCUUAAACAGUUUUUUAAUCUGUGGGAAUGACCAGAAGGUCAUUCGAAAUUAGUGCCGAUGCAUGACGAACACAGAGGAGCUGUGGGCUGGGAGACCAGGCCCAGAAUCGGGCCUGAGGGCAGGGGUCAGGCCCCAUUCACAGACAGGAAAUGAAUCCAGAGAGAAGAAGCAGUUCACCCAAGGUCACAGACAGAGAGCAUGGAGCCCAGUGACCUUGUGGUCCCCACAGAAGAUGCAUGGAUUCCGUCUCUGAUUUUCUCCUGAACCAGAAGAGGGCCACCGGGUCCCCCCAUCUAUCAUCAGAAUGUUGGGAAGCGAUGGUGGUGGGGUUAGUGUCCUGCCUGAACCCCCUUUCCUGACCUCGUGACCCAGCUGCUUUGAGUCACAGCUGAGAGGUCCACAGGUGUUCCCUCCCCAGAGGGAGAACAGCCUUAAGGCCAAAUGAGGAGGCCAUCAUCCCCACGCACGCCCCGGAGCAGCCGAUGGCCAGUGACGGAGUGACAUGGAGAUAAAAUCGCCAGCCCCCUUGCCUCAAGGUGGGACCUGCUCUGGGAUACAGUUCACGCUCCAGGACUCUCCAUGGGCCUGGGCUGACCGUGCUUGCUUAGCAUUUUGCCCCAUUCUGCGCCUCACUCCCUUCUCUUAGGAGCACCGCUUCCAUAGAUCACGUGCGUAAGGAGCUCCGUCACAGGCUCUGCUUCAAAAACGGACCUG
rnacentral:lncRNA from 1 species